AGCGAACGCUGGCGGCAGGCCUAACACAUGCAAGUCGAACGAAGUCUUCGGACUUAGUGGCGGACGGGUGAGUAACACGUGGGAACGUGCCUUUAGGUUCGGAAUAACUCAGGGAAACUUGUGCUAAUACCGAAUGUGCCCUUCGGGGGAAAGAUUUAUCGCCUUUAGAGCGGCCCGCGUCUGAUUAGCUAGUUGGUGGGGUAAUGGCCCACCAAGGCUACGAUCAGUAGCUGGUCUGAGAGGAUGACCAGCCACAUUGGGACUGAGACACGGCCCAAACUCCUACGGGAGGCAGCAGUGGGGAAUCUUGCGCAAUGGGCGAAAGCCUGACGCAGCCAUGCCGCGUGGAUGAUGAAGGUCUUAGGAUUGUAAAAUCCUUCCACCGGUGAAGAUAAUGACUGUAGCCGGAGAAGAAGCCCCGGCUAACUUCGUGCCAGCAGCCGCGGUAA
rnacentral:rRNA from 1 species